CCUACGGGAGGCAGCAGUGAGGAAUAUUGGUCAAUGGGCGGAAGCCUGAACCAGCCAAGUCGCGUGGAGGAAGACGGCCCUACGGGUUGUAAACUCCUUUUACCUGGGAAUAACGGGCGCUACGUGUAGCGCUGUGCAAGUACCGGGAGAAUAAGCAUCGGCUAAUUCCGUGCCAGCAGCCGCGGUAAUACGGAAGAUGCGAGCGUUAUCCGGAUUUAUUGGGUUUAAAGGGUGCGUAGGCGGAAGAAUAAGUCAGCGGUGAAAUGCUUCAGCUCAACUGGAGAAUUGCCGAUGAAACUGUUUUUCUAGAGUAUAAAAGAGGUAUGCGGAAUGCGUGGUGUAGCGGUGAAAUGCAUAGAUAUCACGCAGAACCCCGAUUGCGAAGGCAGCAUACUGGGCUAUAACUGACGCUGAAGCACGAAAG
rnacentral:rRNA from 1 species